rnacentral:rRNA from 1 species
UACGUAGGGUGCAAGCGUUUAAUCGGAAUUACUGGGCGUAAAGCGUGCGCAGGCGGUUUUGUAAGUCUGUCGUGAAAUCCCCGGGCUUAACCUGGGAACUGCGUUUGAAACUGAAAGGCUAGAGUGUGGCAGAGGGGGGUGGAAUUCCGACGUGUAGCAGUGAAAUGCGUAGAGAUGUGGAGGAACACCGAUGGCGAAGGCAGCCCCCCUGGGCUAACACUGACGCUCAUGCACGAAAGCGUGGGGAGCAAACAGG